rnacentral:tRNA from 1 species
UCGGAUAUGGUGUAACGGCUAACAUUGCCGCCUCUCAUAAUUCCUGUGAAUGGGUCUGCGCGGCAGCUUGGGGUUCGAUUCCCCGUAUCCGAA